rnacentral:rRNA from 1 species
GACGAACGCUGGCGGCGUGCCUAAUACAUGCAAGUAGAACGCACAGUUUAUACCGUAGCUUGCUACACCAUAGACUGUGAGUUGCGAACGGGUGAGUAACGCGUAGGUAACCUGCCUGGUAGCGGGGAUAACUAUUGGAAACGAUAGCUAAUACCGCAUAAUAUUAAUUAUUGCAUGAUAAUUGAUUGAAAGAUGCAACUGCAUCACUACCAGAUGGACCUGCGUUGUAUUAGCUAGUAGGUGAGGUAACGGCUCACCUAGGCGACGAUACAUAGCCGACCUGAGAGGGUGAUCGGCCACACUGGGACUGAGACACGGCCCAGACUCCUACGGGAGGCAGCAGUAGGGAAUCUUCGGCAAUGGACGAAAGUCUGACCGAGCAACGCCGCGUGAGUGAAGAAGGUUUUCGGAUCGUAAAGCUCUGUUGUAAGAGAAGAACGGGUGUGAGAGUGGAAAGUUCACACUGUGACGGUAUCUUACCAGAAAGGGACGGCUAACUACGUG